AAGCCAGGAGGGCUCAGGGGAGCCGGGACCCCUGCAAGGGCCUCUCCCUGCGGGCAGCAGCAGCGGGCUCCGGCGAUCCACAAAAGAGGACCAGAAGGUCUCAUUGAGAAAUGUAGAGAUCACUACCAAGGCAAGGAGCCAGGGGCAGACGCAGGAGGGUGAGGGCUGGCUCCGAGUCCCCCACGUUCUCCUCCUCCCCUCCCCCUCGCACUCCCCGAGCUGUCGGACCGACUCUGGCCAUCCCUUCUUUCCACUCAGCUGGUCCCCAGCAACCCCAUCCCUUCUGGCCUGGACUCACAAAGGCUCUCGGCUUCCAGUUCUCCAUUGGUUGCCGAAGGAGCCUCCUGAAGCACAGUUCUCAGUGUGCCGCUGCCCUGCUCAAGAACCUGCUUGUCUCCCUCUUACCGUUAGGAUAAAUUAGAUUUGGAGAGGGGCGGGAGCAGGGUUCUGAGACUAGAACCCAACAUUAGAAGAUGGGAAUCCCCUCUACAACACGAGGCAGCCAGGAGCACGUAGGACAAGGUGCUGGCCCCGGAGUCCAGACGACCCAAGUUCAAAUCCAGCCUCAGACACUAGCUGGGUGAUUCUGGGCAAGUCCCUUCACCCGGUUUGCCUCAGUUUCCUCAUCUGUAAAAUGAGCUGGAGAAGGAAGUGGCCAAUCACUCCAAAUCUCUGCCAAGAAACCCCUGAUGGAGAGUUGGACACUGGGCAACACCAGCGCUGCUGCUGAGUGGCUGGUCAUUCAGCCCAUCUGGAGACCUCGGGAUGGCCGAGUCUCCGCUUCUCUGGACAGCCCAUUGAUGCUCGGGCCGCCUCUCCGCGUUAGGUCUCUUUCCCGAGAUCCAGCCGUCUUCCUCUCCGCGUUAGGUCUCUUUCCCGAGAUCCAGCCGUCUUCCUCUCCGCGUUAGAUCUCUUUCCCGAGAUCCAGCCGUCUUCCUCUCCGCGUUAGGUCUCUUUCCCGAGAUCCAGCCGUCUUCCUCUCCGUGUUAGGACUCUUUCCCGAGAUCCAGCCGUCUUCCUCUCCGCGUUAGGACUCUUUCCUGAUAUCCAGCCGUCUUCCUCUCCGUGUUAGGUCUCUUUCCCGAGAUCCAGCCAUCUUCCUCUCUGUGUUAGGACUCUUUCCUGAUAUCCAGCCGUCUUCCUCUCAGUGUUAGGUCUCUUUCCCGAGAUCCAGCCAUCUUCCUCUCUGUGUUAGGACUCUUUCCUGAUAUCCAGCCGUCUUCCUCUCAGUGUUAGGUCUCUUUCCCGAGAUCCAGCCGUCUUCCUCUCAGUGUUAGGUCUCUUUCCCAAUAUCCAGCCGUCUUCCUCUCCGUGUUAGGACUCUUUCCGAGAUCCAGCCGUCUUCCUCUUUGUGCUUCCCAUUUCCCGGCCCUCUGGGGCUGUGCUGGACAAAGCGAACCCCACCUCUGCAGGACAGCUCAGCCCGAGUAGUUUUGUCCUUCGCUCGUGGAGCCCAGGCAGGAGAGGGGAGGAAACCUGCUGAUGGCCAGGGCCAGGCUGGCGCUGAAGCCCCCCCAAUCCUCCCUGCAUCGAGACACCCUAGAAGCGGGCUGGCAGUCCGACUCCGGGAUACCCCUUGUGGAAGGAUGGCCACCCGUCCGGACGCCUCACUCAGGGAACGGGCCGACCAGAAGUCCGGCCCCUCUUGACUCGGAACCUCAGCAAGGCAUGAAAUUUGCUCAGCACGUGAGGGUGACUUAGCUGCCUGAGGAGAAUGGCAGCUGGGGCAGAGGUGGGGAGCUACGCAGGGAGGGGCCGGGAGGUGAGGCUGUAGGCCGCAGUCAGGGUCCCCUUGAUUCCUGCCCCUCGGACCCAUUUCCUCCUGGCACUU